GUGCCAGCAGCCGCGGUAAUACGUAUGUCUCGAGUGUUACCCGGAAUUACUGGGUGUAAAGCGUUCGUAGGUGGUUUGAUAAGUUGAAUAUGAAAGACCGAGGCUCAACUUCGUGUUUGUAUUCAAAACUGUCAAACUAGAAUUAGGGAGAGGUAAGCGGAAUUCUGAGUGUAGGGGUGCAAUCCGUAGAUACUCAGAGGAACACCAAAAGCGAAGGCAGCUUACUGGAACUAUAUUAACACUGAGGAACGAAAGCAUGGGUAGCGAAAAGGAUUAGAUACCCUUGUAGUCCAUGCCCUAAACGAUGAUAACUAAGUGUUCCCGAUUUGCGGGAGUGCUGAAGCUAACGCAAUAAGUUAUCCACCUGAGGAGUACGGUCGCAAGAUUAAAAC
rnacentral:rRNA from 1 species